rnacentral:rRNA from 1 species
UACGAAGGGGGCUAGCGUUGUUCGGAAUCACUGGGCGUAAAGCGCACGUAGGCGGAUCUUUAAGUCAGAGGUGAAAUCCCAAGGCUCAACCUUGGAACUGCCCUUCGAUACUGAGAGUCUUUGAGUUCGGAAGAGGUUGGUGGAACUGCGAGUGUAGAGGUGAAAUUCGUAGAUAUUCGCAAGAACACCAGUGGCGAAGGCGGCCAACUGGUCCGAUACUGACGCUGAGGCGGCGAAAAGCGUGGGGAGCAAACAGG